GGGGCACCUUUGAGGGUUAAAGCCCUCAAGGAAGGCCUCUGGGAGGAGGUGACCUUGAAGCUGAAGGCUCUUUCCUCCAGGGGACGUCCAUGGAGAAAGGUCCACUGGUCAGGUCAAGAGCCAUGACCAGGCUGUCACUGGCCGUGGCAGGGGUGCCCCAAAGGUGAGCAUUUAAUGAACCUAUAACACUGGCAAGUCAAUUCUGGUUAACUGCAAAGAGCACGACGUCUGAUCAAACUGGCCUUAGAAUUCCAGACUUCUUUUAUCACAGCCCAGGACCGUUCGAUUUCUGUCUCCAAAUGAAGAAAACAUUGGUGAGAAAGGGAAUAAUGCCCUAAGUCAGACCCCAGUGUUUCUGUCUGACUUUAGGUCCAGGUGGGAGCAGUUAAGAACAGGUACCAUGGUUGCCCCUGUAAACCCACUGGUGACUCUCAAGGCGGGUUAAUCCAUGUGACCACGUCGUGGUUCCACAUUCUCAGUGGGCUUUCUGGGCUGGAUUCAAUACAGCUCCUCAGAUACCCUCAAAAUCCUAUUCUCCUUAAAAUCCCUUUAUCUCCUAAUUAUUUCAGGACAACUUGCCAGCAGAUGGGAAAACAUGGGGUGUCUAACGAAUGCAGAAUGGAACUGCGUUGAAUUCAGGUUCUCAGAGGUCUCUCCUGCCCAGGUGGACAGCAACCCAGGUGGCUGUUUUGACAGCCCCAAGGUCAUGGUUCUUUCCUUUUGAAUCUACAUUUUUGUCACUUUGCUUCAUUUUAGAAAAAGAGAAAACAAACAAACAAACAGAAAUCUGCCUUAAGCUUAACCCUCCACUGCUCCCCUCACCAACCCAACGUAUUUGGGGCGAUGGAGCAAGCACAGAAAGGCAGACAUGGGCUCGACACCCAAGGCAUGCAGAGAGAGAGAGAACACGCAAGAGCAAGCACUCUUGCAAAACGGGGACUCUGAUGGACCUGUGUCCGCCUACCCCGUGGACCUCUCUUUGAAUAGUUAUUCAUUUGGCUGCACCAGGUCUUAGUCGCAGCAUGUGGGAUCUUUAGCUGUGUCAUGGGAACUCAGCUGUGGCGUGUGGGAUUCAGCUCCCUGACCAGGGAUUGAACCUGGUCCCCCUGCAUUGGGAGCUUGGAGUCUUACCACUGGACCACCAGGGGAGUCCCCAGUACCAUAGAUAUUUAUGCCACACCUCCCGAGAGCCAGGCAGUGUGCUGGCUUCUGGGAGUCCAUCAUCAAAACCCAAGACAAGUCCCUGCCUUCCUGUUGCUAAUAGUUUACUGUAUAUUCGCAUCUGAUAGUCAAGAAGAGCUAUAGCAUGAGAGUCCCAAAGACAGGGGAAUUCACUUCUUAGUCCUCCUCUGAUUGGCUGUCCUCAGUUUUCCUCCUCUGUAAAAUGGGUUCAGCAAUUCGUAUGGAAAGCUUCAUGGUGAGACCCCAGGAGAUGACAUCAGGAGAAGGGAGUAGAGGAAUGGCCUUACUGGUUGCUCUUUAUGGUGCUAAGACCCAGGUAGCUCAUUUUCUCAGAGUUCUAACUCCACCCUGGGUGGUUGACACUCUUAUCUCUCUUACCCAGAGGCAGAAGCAAGUCAGAGGGGUUGAGUGACUCUUCCAAGGAGGCUCAGGACUCCAAAACAGAAAGAUUGAUUAUAUUCUUUGCAGCCAAAGAUGGAGAAGCUCCAUACAGUCAACAAAAACAAGACCAGGAGCUGACUGUGGCUCAGAUCAUGAACUCCUUAUUACCAAAUUCAGACUCAAAUUGAAGAAAGUAGGGAAAACCGCUAGACCAUUCAGGUAUGACUUAUGAUUAUACAGUGGAAGGGGGAAACAGAAUUAAGGGCCUAGAUCUGAUAGAUAGAGUGCCUGAUGAACUAUGGAAUGAGGUUCGUGACAUAGUAUAGGAGACAGGGAUCAAGACCAUCCCCAUGGAAAAGAAAUGCAAAAAAGCAAAAUGGCUGUCUGGGGAGGCCUUACAAAUAGCUGGGAAAAGAAGAGAGGCGAAAAGCAAAGGAGAAAAGGAAAGAUAUAAGCAUCUGAAUGCAGAGUUCCAAAGAAUAGCAAGAAGAGAUAAGAAAGCCUUCUUCAGCGAUCAAUGCAAAGAAAUAGAGGAAAACAACAGAAUGGGAAAGUCUAGAGAUCUCGUCAAGAAAAUUAGAGAUACCAACGGAACAUUUCAUGCAAAGAUGGGCUUGAUAAAGGACAGGAAUGGCACGGACCUAACAGAAAUAGAAGAUAUUAAGAAGACGUGGCAAGAAUACACAGAAGAACUGUACGAAAAAGAGCUUCACAAACCAGAUAAUCACGAUGGUGUGAUCACUCACCUAGAGCCAGACAUUCUGGAAUGUGAAGUCAAGUGGGCAUUAGAAAGCAUCACUACGAACAAAGCUAGUGGAGGUGAUGGAAUUCCAGUGGAGCUAUUUCAAAUCCUGAAAGAUGAUGCUGUGGAAGUGCUGCACUCAAUAUGCCAGCAAAUAUGGAAAACUCAGCAGUGGCCACAGGACUGGAAAAGGUCAGUUUUCAUUCCAAUUCCAAAGAAAGGCAAUGCCAAAGAAUGCUCAAACUACCGUACAAUUGCACUCAUCUCACACACUAGUAAAGUAAUGCUCAAAAUUCUCCAAGCCAGGCUUCAGCAAUACGUGAACCGUGAACUUCCAGAUGUUCAAGCUUGUUUUAGAAAAAGCAGAGGAACCAGAGAUCAAAUUGUCAACAUCUGCUGGAUCAUGGAAAAAGCAAGACAGUUCCAGAAAAACAUCUAUUUCUGCUUUAUCGACUAUGCCAAAGCCUUUGACUGUGUGCAUCACAAUAAACUGGCAAAUUCUGAAAGAGAUGGGAAUCCCAGACCACAUGACCUGCCUCUUGAGAAAUCUGUAUGCAGGUCAGGAAGCAACAGUUAGAACUGGACAUGGAACAACAGACUGGUUUCAAAUAGGAAAAGGAGUGCGUCAAGGCUGAAUACUGUCACCUUGCUUAUUUAACUUCUGUGCAGAGUACAUCAUGAGAAACGCUGGACUGGAAGAAGCACAAGCUGGAGUCAAGAUUGCCAGGAGAAAUAUCGAUAACCUCAGAUAUGCAGAUGACACCACCCUUAUGGCAGAAAGUGAAGAGGAGCUAAAAAGCCUCUUGAUGAAAGUGAAAGAGGAGAGUGAAAAAGUUGGCUUAAAGCUCAACAUUCAGAAAACGAAGAUCAUGGCAUCUGGUCCCAUCACUUCAUGAGAAAUAGAUGGGGAAACAGUGGAAACAGUGGCAGACUUUAUUUUGGGGGCUCCAAAAUCACUGCAGAUGGUGACUGUAGCCAUGAGUUAAAAGACACUUACUCCUUGGAAGAAAGUUAUGACCAACCUAGAUAGCAUAUUCAAAAGCAGAGAUGUUACUCUGCCAACUAAGGUCCGUCUAGUCAAGGAUAUGGUUUUUCCUGUGGUCAUGUAUGGAUGUGAGAGUUGGACUGUGAAGAAGGCUGAGUGCCGAAGAGUUGAUGCUUUUGAACUGUGGUGUUGGAGAAGACUCUUGAGAGUCCCUGGGACUGCAAGGAGAUCCAACCAGUCCAUUCUGAAGGAGAUCAGCCCUGGGAUUUCUUUGGAAGGAAUGAUGCUAAAGCUGAAACUCCAGUACUUUGGCCACCUCAUGCGAAGAGUUGACUCAUUGGAAAAGACUCUGAUGCUGAGAGGGAUUGGGGGCAGGAGGAGAAGGGGAUGACAGAGGAUGAGAUGGCUGGAUGGUAUCACUGACUUGAUGGACGUGAGUCUGAGUGAACUCCGGGAGUUGGUGAUGGACAGGGAGGCCUGGCGUGCUGCAAUUCAUGGGGUCGCAAAUAGUCAGACACGACUGAGCAACUGAACUGAACUGAACUGAGUCUAAUUAAUUGGAAAGUGACUCCAGGAAGGGUGCCCUGAAGAAAUGAAUUUUGUGUUGGGUUUUGAAGGAUGAGUAGGAGAUUUCUGCUAACAAUAGUGACAGCUAAGCAGUGCCAGACACUGUGCCAAGUAAACACUAUUACUAAAGGAAACAUUCAGGUAUGACUUAAAUCAAAUCCCUUAUGAGUAUUCAGUGGGAGUGACAAGUAGAUUCAAGAGAUUAGAUCUGAUAGAGUGUCGGAAGGACUAUGGAUGGAGGUUUGUGACAUUGGAUCAGACCAUUCCCAAGAAAAAGAAAUGCAAGAAGUCUAAAUGGUUGUCUGAGGAGGCCUUAUAAACAGCUGAGAAAAGAAGACAAGCUAAAGGAAAGGAGAAAGGGAAAGAUAUUCCCAUUUGAAUGCAGAGUUCCAAAGAACAGCAAGGAGAGAUAAGAAAGCCUUCCUAAGUGAUCAAUGCAAAGAAAUAGAGGAAAACAACAGAAUGGGAAAGACUAGAGUUCUCUUCAGAAAAAUUAGAGAUACCAAGGGAACAUUUCAUGCAAAGAUGGGCUCGAUAAAGGAUAGAAAUGGUAUGGACCUAACAGAAGUAGAAGAUAUUAAGAAGACAUGGCAAGAAUACACAGAAGAACUAUACAAAAGAUCUUCAUGACCCAGAUAACCACAAUGGUGUGAUCCCUCACCUGGAGCCAGGCAUCCUGGAAUGUGAAGUCAAGUGGGCCUUAGAAAGCAUCACUACAAACAAAGCUAGUGGAGGUGAUGAAAUUCCAGUGGAGCUAUUUCAAAUCCUGAAAGAUGAUGCUGUGAAAGUGCUGCACUCAAUAUGCCACCAAAUGUGGAAAACUCAGCAGUGGCCACAGAACUAGAAAAGGUCAGUUUUCAUUCCAGUCCCAAAGAAAGGCAAUGCCAAAGAAUGCUCAAACUACCACACAAUUGCACUCAUCUCACAUGCUAGUAAAGUAAUGCUCAAAAUUCUCCAAGCCAGGCUUCAGCAAUACAUGAACCGUGAACCUCCAGAUGUUCAAGCUGGUUUUAGAAAAGGCAGAGGAACCAGAGAUCAAAUUGCCAACAUCUGCCGGAUCAUCAAAAAUGCAAGAGAGUUCCAGAAAAACAUCUAUUUCUGCUUUAUCGACUAUGCCAAAGCCUUUGACUGUGUGGAUCACAACAAACUGUGGGAAAUUCUUCGAGGAGGGAAUAUCAGACCACCUUACCUGCCUCCUGAGAAAUCUGUAUGCAGGUCAAGAAGCAAGUGAGAUCUGGACAUGGAACAACAGACUGGUUCCAAAUCGGGAAAGGAGUAUAUCAACGCUUUAUAUUUUCACCCUGCUUAUUUAACUUAAAUGCAGAGUACAUCAUGAGAAAUGCCAGGCUGGAUGAAGCACAAGGUAGAAUCAAGUUUGGUAGGAGAAAUAUCAAUAAACUCAAACACACAGAUGACACCACCCUUAUGGCAGAAAGCGAAGAACUAAAAACCUCUUGAUGAAAGUGAAAGAGGAGAGUGAAAAAGUUGGUUUAAAACUCAACAUUCAGAAAACUAAGAUCAUGGCAUCCGGUCCCAUCACUCACGGCAAGUAGACGGGGAAACAAUAGAAACAGUGAGAGACUUUAUUUUUUGAGUUCCAAAAUCACUGCAGAUAGUGACUGCAGCCAUGAAAUUAAGAUGCUUGCCCUUUGGAAGAAAAGCUAUGACCAACCUAGACAGCAUAUUAAAAAGCAGAGAUAUUACUUUGCCAACAAAGGUCUGUCUAGUCAAAGCUAUGGUUUUUCCAGUAGUCAUGUGUGGAUGUGAGAGUUGGACUCUAAAGAAAGCUGAGUUCUGAAGAAUUGAUGCUUUUGAACUGUGGUGUUAGAGAAGACUCUUGAGAAUCUCUUGGACUGCAAAGGAGAUCAAUCCUAAAGGAAAUCAGUCCUGAAUAUUCAUUGAAAGGACUGAUGCUGAAGCUGAAACUCUUUGGCCCCUUGAUGUGAAGAACUGACUCAUUUGAAAAGACCCUGAUGCUGGUAAGAUUGAAGGUGGGAGAAGGGGAAGACAGAAGUGAGAUGGUUGGAUGGCAUCCCCAACUCAAUGGACAUGAGUCUGAGAAAGCUCCAGGAGUUGGUGGUGGACAGGGAGGCCUGGCAUGCUGUAGUCCAUGGGGUCGCAAAGAGGCGGACACGACUGAGCGACUGAACUGAACUGAAAGGAACCAACUGACUCUUGUCAACACUAUGGACUACGUUACAAUUUGCAUUUGCCCAGAGAGGUUAAGUUACUUGCACAAGGUCACACAGAGAAUGAAUAGCAGGGUCAGAAUUUGAACCGGGUCAGAAGCCUUGUUGGUAUCAGAGCCUCCCAAGAUGGCUGGGGUCUGGUUGGAGUUGAGACUUAAGCUGAAGUUGGGGAAAGGAAUCCUGCAGACCCCAGAAGUCUUGGUUAAGAAAGAAAGACUUUGACUUGAGAACAAUGGGAAAUCUUUGAAAGGUUUUUGGAGAUAGGGGGCGGGAAAUGGGGGUGUGUCCUGAUCCAAAUUGAAAUUUCAAAAGAUCCCUCUGGCUGCUG
ensembl:lncRNA